rnacentral:misc_RNA from 1 species
UUUUCAUAAUAAUAAUGGGUGAUCCUUCUGGAGUAUUAAUUAAUGCAAACGCAAUGGCCAACCUCUCACUGUGAUAUUUGAGUGAUUCUAUUUUCAUUUCUUCAUCCACAUUUUGAAGGGUACAACUUGUAUCAGGUUUGUGUCCUUCCUUGUCCAUUAGCUCAACCAAUGAGUUAAUUUUUCUUCUAAUCUGCUCAGUUUGUGGAUGGGUCCUAUCGUUUGCAGUGAAUACAUGAACUCUGUGGUCAAUCUCAACCCAGCUAUAGGCAGUGACCUUUUUAACUCCCCGUUCCCUCAUAGCCUUCUUGACUUUUG